rnacentral:rRNA from 1 species
CCCUUAGAUGUUCUGGGCCGCACGCGUGCUACACUGAGUGGAUCAGCGGGUCAGGUUGCGCGAAAGUGUUUCCUAAUCUUUAAAUCCGCUCGUGAUGGGGAUUGACGGUUGCAAUUUUCCGUCAUGAGCGAGGAAUACCUUGUAAGCGCGGGUCAUCAUCCCGCGCUGAAUACGUCCCUGCCCUUUGUACACACCGCCCGUCGCUCCUACCGAUUGAGUGGUCCGGUGAGGCUUUGGGAUCUGAGCGGAAAGAGCGUUUCGCUGUUUCUGCCCGGAAAACUCAGUCGAACCUUAUCAUUUAGAGGAAGGAGAAGUCGUAACA